rnacentral:rRNA from 1 species
UACGUAGGGUGCAAGCGUUAAUCGGAAUUACUGGGCGUAAAGCGUGCGCAGGCGGUUUUGUAAGACAGUGGUGAAAUCCCCGGGCUCAACCUGGGAACUGCCAUUGUGACUGCAAGGCUAGAGUGCGGCAGAGGGGGAUGGAAUUCCGCGUGUAGCAGUGAAAUGCGUAGAUAUGCGGAGGAACACCGAUGGCGAAGGCAAUCCCCUGGGCCUGCACUGACGCUCAUGCACGAAAGCGUGGGGAGCA